GACGAGGGGUCCUAGCGUUGUUCGGAAUCACUGGGCGUAAAGCGUUUGUAGGCGGCUCUAUAAGUCGGGUGUGAAAUCCCAUGGCUCAACCAUGGAAGUGCAUUCGAAACUGCAGAGCUUGAAUAUGGAAGAGGAGAGUAGAAUUCCUGGUGUAGUGGUGAAAUACGUAGAUAUCAGGAGGAAUACCAGUGGCGAAGGCGGCUCUCUGGGACGGUACUGACGCUGAGACGCGAAAGCGUGGGGAGCGAACAGG
rnacentral:rRNA from 1 species